GCCAUUGAAGGAGGACGAGCUGAUCUCCUACAUCCUCAACGGCCUCGACAUGGACUACCAGCCGCUAGUCUCUACCCUUGACGUCCGCACCAUCCCGGUCACCCUUGAUGAAUUCUUUGCUCAGAUGAGUAACUUUGAUC
rfam:Triticum urartu cultivar G1812 contig203318, whole genome shotgun sequence.